CCCCUGCCACACACGUACUCCUUGGAGACCCAGCCCUGCUGCUGUCACAAAUUUCAGUGAUGUCACAGCUCCCCUAGCUGGAGGCUCCAGCAGAGCCACCCUGACGGCCAGCCUGAGUGCUGGCCCAACUGAGAGGGGCAGGGAGCAGGUGGUGCCUGGAACCAGUCUUGCUCCAUCUGUCUUUGAGGUCUCACAGCCCCAGUAUGAGUCCAUCAGCAAAGAAGAGGCCCAAGAAUAGAAUGGUUUCCAAGAUACAAGAUGAAGAACCACAGGACAAGAUACCACAACCUGUCAGCAAAGUAAUCGGCCGGAACCGACUUAAGAUGGUAUUAAAAAACUUGUCGCUCUUGAAGCUGCUCAAGAGCUCGAACCCCCGGAUCCAAGAACUGCAUAACCUGGCCAAAAGGUGUUGGAAUUCACUGCUCAGAGUUCCAAAGAUCCUUGGGAUCUCCACUGGGAGCAGCAAUGUCUGCGAUAGAGUGGAACAAGGUAACGAAGAUGCUGGGUGCCCCAAGAACAUACUGGAAUCCAAGAAAUCAGAGUCCACAGGGGAGCCCAAGGUGGGGCUGGGGGAGAAGAACAAAGCCCAGCAGUCACCCACAGCAGCGUGCCAGAGCAAGGCGCAGGUGGAGCCCGAGCUCCCCAGGACAUCGAAGGACGAUGGCCUGACCACUUGCCCUGGAGCUCAGGGGAGGCAAUCACCCACUGGGGACCCUCCCAUCGUCUUCCUGAAGACCUACCAGCAUAGAACUCCCUCGGGGGACAAGCAGCAGCUGGAAGCAGCUGACCAGUGGAUCUGGUUUGAGGGGUUGCCCACGCGAAUCCACCUCCCAGGGCCCCGGGUGAUGUGCAGACCGUCUGCCCUGCGCUGGGUCAAGCGCUGCUGUACCCGCUUCUGCUCUGCAUCACUUGAGCUACCCAUGUGCCAUCUAUACAGAGUGUGACAAUACCACGGCCCGGCCAGGGUGGCGCGACCUGGGACGGGAGCCAGACGUGUGAGGGAUGGGCGGGCAAAUUCACGAGUCUACAAAUAAGAUCUCCCAUUGGGAACUGAGAAAUACUACCGCCGCCUCUGCCUGUUUGGGACUGGAAAGGAUGGCGGAAAGAGGCCCUCGACCGAGGUGGGGAGGGAAAGUGCAUCGCGAUUUUAGGUUUCUUCCACCCCAUUCCCAGGCCCCUCAGGUCAGCCUAGAACGUGGCACACAGACACGAGCAAGCUGCACCACUCCCCACCCCUGCAAGCUGGCCUGCCGACGAGUGCACUCUAUGCGGUCACAGAAGGGACUUUCUGGGUCAUUUGUCAGGUACUUUCCGGGUGCCAGAUGCUUCACAAUGGCCCUGCAAGCCAACGAGAUGACAGCCCGUGGCGCCGCGGAGGCAGAAGGGGACUUGGCCCACACGACGAGGAAGUGACGUGACCGGGCCAGAACUCCAAUCUAGAACUGCGGGCUGCUCCCCAUUCCAUUUUCCGAAGAAAGGAAAACGGCACAAGAGCGCACCCAUCCAGCCCAUCAUUCACGUGCAUUGUACCCGGUUACUACAGCGUCGGGUGUCAACAAAUGGGUGUCAGCUGGGCCUCGAAAUGUCAGGCCUAGUGUCAGGACUUGGGCUCUACAGCUCCCGUGGGACACGACACACCCACCUCCCCAAUCCCAAGGCCCGGUCGACCCCAUUCAGUCGGGGUCGCCCUCAGUCGGCAGGAGACAUAGCCCUGAACGUGCAGUUGGGAAGAGGGAAAGCCCAGGGAACCCGGGCUAUCUGGGGAUCUUCCCCUGAAGGCGGGUGCGCGGAGCGGCGCCCUCAAGAAAGCAGCGCAGCAACCAAGGGGCGCAGAGCCCUCCCGCGAAGACCCCGGGCGGUGGAGCAGAUGCCUGGUGCGGGAGGGAGGAAGAUGGCAGGGGUUUCCCCAAACCAGCCGCCUGCACCCUUUUCCUCCCCGGAGCUCUCAGCUCUGAGACUGCGCCUCCCGGCCGGCGGGGCCGGAAACCCACCGCGUUAGCCCUGGGCGGCGCUGCCACCCUGACCCUGCCUGCGCGGGGCCGCUCGCUGCCGCCCAGCCCCGCUCGGCUCCGGUGCGCCUCUGCGCACCUCCCCCGCGCCACCGCCUCCCCGCAACCUCCACCCGGAGCUGUCUUGCCGCUCGGCUGGCACCCCGGGCCACCUCCUGGGUAGUUGCCGUUUCGGUUUCCUUGCUGGCCAUCCUCAUUCCCACCCGUCUUCGAAAAUCGCCCCACUCGCUCUUUCACCCAGCACCCACCAUUCCAUCAACCUCUGCGCGAACGUCAGUCUGCGCGCAAUCAGGGCAGCGCGCGCCAACCAAAACACACCCGGCUGGCGACCCCCUGCACUAGUCUUCCUGGGAGCCCGCCUGGGUAGCCCCAAGUGAGGACCUGAAAGGCGUGGCCUUUUGUUAUGACAUCUGGAUUCCAGAGACUGUCCCUCUCCUAUUCUGGAUCACCUACCACGAAACAUGAUUGGAACGUGCAAGGAUGAGGCUGUUGAUGCAGACAGGCCUAGCUUCUCAUCAGCUGUGUGAUGUUAGGGGAAGUUGUUUACUCCUAGUUUCAGUUUCUUUGUGGACAAAAUGGGAAAAUAAUGGUGUCUAUCCCACUGGAUUAAGUGAAAACACACAGAAGUCACUGCAGCCGAUGGCACUUAGGAGCGCACGCAGUACU